rnacentral:rRNA from 1 species
UACGGAGGGUGCAAGCGUUAUCCGGAUUCACUGGGUUUAAAGGGUGUGUAGGCGGGCUGUUAAGUCAGUGGUGAAAUCUCAAGGCUCAACCUUGAAACUGCCAUUGAUACUAUCAGUCUUGAAUCUUGUUGAGGUGGGCGGAAUAUGUCAUGUAGCGGUGAAAUGCUUAGAUAUGACAUAGAACACCAAUUGCGAAGGCAGCUCGCUAAACAAGUAUUGACGCUGAGGCACGAAAGCGUGGGGAUCAAACAGGAUUAGAUACCCUGGUAGUCCACGCCCUAAACGAUGAUUACUCGACAUACGUGAUACACUAUGUGUGUCUGAGCGAAAGCAUUAAGUAAUCCACCUGGGAAGUACGUCCGCAAGGAUGAA